CGCGGCCUAUCAGCUUGUUGGUGGGGUAACGGCCUACCAAGGCGAUUACGGGUAGCCGGCCUGAGAGGGCGACCGGCCACACUGGGACUGAGACACGGCCCAGACUCCUGCGGGAGGCAGCAGUGGGGAAUAUUGCGCAAUGGGCGAAAGCCUGACGCAGCGACGCCGCGUGGGGGAUGACGGCCUUCGGGUUGUAAACCUCUUUUACCACCAACGCAGGCUCCCGGUUCUCCGGGGGUUGACGGUAGGUGGGGAAUAAGGGCCGGCUAACUACGUGCCAGCAGCCGCGGUAAUACGUAGGGUCCGAGCGUUGUCCGGAAUUAUUGGGCGUAAAGAGCUCGUAGGCGGCGUGUCGCGUCUGCUGUGAAAGACCGGGGCUUAACCCCGGUUCUGCAGUGGAUACGGGCAUGCUAGAGGUAGGUAGGGGAGACUGGAAUUCCUGGUGUAGCGGUGAAAUGCGCAGAUAUCAGGAGGAACACCGGUGGCGAAGGCGGGUCUCUGGGCCUUACCUGACGCUGAGGAGCGAAAGCAUGGGGAGCGAACAGGAUUAGAUACCCUGGUAGUCCAUGCCGUAAACGUUGGGCGCUAGGUGUGGGGACUUUCCACGGUUUCCGCGCCGUAGCUAACGCAUUAAGCGCCCCGCCUGGGGAGUACGG
rnacentral:rRNA from 1 species